rnacentral:rRNA from 1 species
ACGGCCAUACCAUGCUGAAUAUACCGGUUCUCAUUAGAUCACCGAAGUCAAGCAUCAUUGGGCGCGGUCAGUACUGGGAUGGGUGACCACCUGGGAACCGCGUGCCGUUG